UACGUAGGCAGCAAGCGUUGUUCGGAGUUACUGGGCGUAAAGGGCGCGUAGGCGGUCUGUUAAGUUCGGUGUGAAAGCCCCCGGCUCACCUGGGGAACUGCGCCGGAAACCGACAGACUCGAGUACCGGAGAGGAGGGUGGAAUUCCUGGUGUAGCGGUGAAAUGCGUAGAUAUCAGGAGGAAUACCGAUGGCGAAGGCAGGUCUCUGGGCUGACACUGACGCUCAUGCACGAAAGCGUGGGGAGCGAAACAAGGAU
rnacentral:rRNA from 1 species